UACGGGGGGGGCAAGCGUUGUUCGGAAUUACUGGGCGUAAAGGGCUCGUAGGCGGCCAACUAAGUCAGACGUGAAAUCCCCCGGCUUAACCAGGGAACUGCGUCUGAUACUGGAUGGCUUGAGUUCUGGAGAGGAAGGCGGAAUUCUCGGUGUAGAGGUGAAAUUCGUAGAUAUCGAGAGGAACACCGGUGGCGAAGGCGGCCUUCUGGACAGCAACUGACGCUGAGACGCGAAAGCGUGGGGAGCAAACAGG
rnacentral:rRNA from 1 species